rnacentral:rRNA from 1 species
AGAGUUUGAUCAUGGCUCAGAUUGAACGCUGGCGGCAUGCCUUACACAUGCAAGUCGAACGGCAGCACGGGGGCAACCCUGGUGGCGAGUGGCGAACGGGUGAGUAACAUAUCGGAACGUGCCCUGGAGUGGGGGAUAACUAGUCGAAAGACUAGCUAAUACCGCAUACGAUCUACGGAUGAAAGUGGGGGAUCGCAAGACCUCAUGCUCGUGGAGCGGCCGAUAUCUGAUUAGCUAGUUGGUGGGGUAAAGGCCUACCAAGGCAUCGAUCAGUAGCUGGUCUGAGAGGACGACCAGCCACACUGGGACUGAGACACGGCCCAGACUCCUACGGGAGGCAGCAGUGGGGAAUUUUGGACAAUGGGCGCAAGCCUGAUCCAGCAAUGCCGCGUGAGUGAAGAAGGCCUUCGGGUUGUAAAGCUCUUUUGUCAGGGAAGAAACGGUGGGGAAUAAUACUUCCUGCUAAUGACGGUACCUGAAGAAUAAGCACCGGCUAACUACGUGCCAGCAGCCGCGGUAAUA